rnacentral:rRNA from 1 species
AACACGAGAGUUUGAUCCUGGCUCAGGAUGAACGCUGGCGGCGUGCCUAACACAUGCAAGUCGAACGGGGGACUGCGUUGGAAGCUCUUCGGAGCGGACAAAGUAGAACCUAGUGGCGGAUGGGUGAGUAACGCGUGGGCAACCUGCCCAAUGCAUUGGGAUAACAACGAGAAAUCGUUGCUAAUACCAGAUAUACUUCCAGUUACGCAUGUAACAAGAAGGAAAGAGAUAUCGGCAUUGGAUGGGCCUGCGUCUGAUUAGCUAGUUGGUGGGGUAACAGCCUACCAAGGCAACGAUCAGUAGCCGACCUGAGAGGGUGACCGGCCACAUUGGGACUGAGACACGGCCCAAACUCCUACGGGAGGCAGCAGUGGGGAAUAUUGCACAAUGGGGGAAACCCUGAUGCAGCAACGCCGCGUGAAGGAAGAAGGUUUUCGGAUCGUAAACUUCUAUCAGUAGGGAAGAAGCAAGUGACGGUACCUAACUAAGAAGCCCCGGCUAACUACGUGCCAGCAGCCGCGGUAAUACGUAGGGGGCAAGCGUUAUCCGGAAUCACUGGGUGUAAAGGGUGCGUAGGCGGCGAUAUAAGUCAGAUGUGAAAAACCGAUGCUCAACAUCGGUCCUGCAUUUGAAACUGUAUGGCUAGAGUACAGGAGAGGAAAGUGGAAUUCCUAGUGUAGCGGUGAAAUGCGUAGAUAUUAGGAGGAACAUCAGUGGCGAAGGCGACUUUCUGGACUGUAACUGACGCUGAGGCACGAAAGCGUGGGUAGCGAACAGGAUUAGAUACCCUGGUAGUCCACGCUAUAAACGAUGAGUGCUAGGUGUCGGGGGUCAAACCUCGGUGCCGCCGUAAACACAUUAAGCACUCCACCUGGGGAGUACGUUCGCAAGAAUGAAACUCAAAGGAAUUGACGGGGGCCCGCACAAGCGGUGGAGCAUGUGGUUUAAUUCGAAGCAACGCGAAGAACCUUACCAAAGCUUGACAUCCUGUUGCCCGGUCCGUAAAAGGAUCCUUUUACUUCGGUAAACAACAGAGACAGGUGGUGCAUGGUUGUCGUCAGCUCGUGUCGUGAGAUGUUGGGUUAAGUCCCGCAACGAGCGCAACCCUUAUUUUCAGUAGCCAACAGGUAAAGCUGGGGACUCUGGAGAGACUGCCGUGGAGAACACGGAGGAAGGUGGGGAUGACGUCAAAUCAUCAUGCCCCUUAUGCUUUGGGCUACACACGUGCUACAAUGGCUGUGACAGAGGGAAGCGA